GUGCUCACUUCAGCAGCAUUUAUACUAAAAUUUGAAUGAUACAGAGAAGAUUAGCACUGUCCAUGCACAAGGAUGACACAGAAUUUGUGAAGUGUUCCAUGUUAAA
rnacentral:snRNA from 1 species